rnacentral:lncRNA from 1 species
AUCUAACAUAACCCUGUAUGUUUUGCAGGGACAACCCAGGACGUGCAUUUCUCAGCACCCAGUCAACUGCCAAAAGUGACUCAAACACAGGCCACCAGUGGAACUCGGCUGUACCACUGCAGUGCUGCGGAAAUUGCCUUCACCAGCGGCUUUGCAACAGCUGUUUCGCAGCAUGUCGGAGACAAUGCCUACGAAAUUAUUGGCCCUGAUCAUGAGAGCCCUCAAGGGGCAAACAACAUCUCUGUUGCAGAAGUGAGCCCGGUACCACUUGGAAGUUACCAUGACAGAUGACACGGCAGCAAUAGAUACAGAGACUGCCACGUCUACUGCAGCUGCAACAGUGUACGAGGCAAGCAGCAGUGUGUCAGCAUCAGCAGCAGUGUCAGAAGGAACCGCACCAGGCCUGGUAGAGCAACAUGUGUGCUAUCACUGUGACUUUUUUUGCAGUGCAUACAACUCAUUUGCUCAACAUACAAAAGCUUUUCACCAUGACUGUGAGCCAGUGUUCUUGAGCAGCAAGUGCAAGACUAAGUUAGGUGUUAUAACACAAUACAAGCAUCACUUUAAGAUAUGCAAACAUAUUACAUUUGUUGCCUCCCCAGCCAGCCCACACAGCGACAACAAUGUGGAACACAGCUCUUCCCCAUUAGAAGAUAGUAGAGACUGUCAGUGUUAUUGCUAGAUUAAGUGGUCUUUGUAGGCAACUAGAAGGACAACACAGGUGUCAUAAGAUUGUUGUUGAUACUGUUGUUGAAGAGGUAAAAAAGAAGUUUGAUGCAGCUGAAGUGCCAACUGAUUUCGAACAAAUCAAAAACAACCACCUGAGAAAGCAACACUAUCGAAAUUUGGGUAUCUAUGUGCCGCCAACUCUGGUAAGAAUGGCAUAGGACAGAAGUGUGAUGAAAAUCACACAGACACUGCUGUUGCAUCACUGGCCACAGUGAGCAGCGACUUGUAGGGCAAGAGAGUCAACUGAAACUAACAUUAUGAUAUAGUGUCAUGCUCCCAUGUGACCACUUUUCAAGUUAUUUUGCAAGAUACAGCUCAACCUCCAGAAACGAGACUGCAAGUUGUCUGUAAAAAAGCUUUCACAAAAAAUUAUUCAUAACACUAUUAACAUAGCAGUAUCUUUUUUUUUGUGUCGGUUCGAGGUUCCCGGCUGUCCAUUAAUGCAAAAAUUGAGGAAAAAAAGAACAUGUGUCGUACUUACACCUUUUUAACAAGUACGAGGGGGACAGAACUUUUCUAGUCAUGCAUCUUCAUACUAUCAAGUUUUUAAAUGCCUUUUAUAAUUAUUAUUACCAGUUAUAUCUGAGUGCAUUGUAUGCAUGUAGCAGGUGUAAAAUCAGGUCAGUUGGAUCAGAUGCCUUAUCUGCAAGCGAGCCCUAUAUUCAAGAAAUUUGAAAUUAAAUAGUUACGUUAGAGACGCAGUCUUUCAGCACUUUAUUGCCUGUGGUUUAAGCAUUGCUCAAUACUUUUGUGGGUGGCAAUUUCAACCGGCACAGCACUGCGCUUUGCCACAGUCACAUUUGUCUUCAAAGCGGUGUUUACCAUUUGUGUUGAUCUGUUUGUGUAUGCAUAGAGCAAGUUUUUAAUUUAUAUUUUUCUGCAUUCUUGUGCUUGCACUAAGCUUGUAUAAGGCAGUUACAAAAUGUGCGGCACUAUAACGAACUGUUCUGUUGAGCUUACACUUGCAAAUAAUCGUGUUCAGAUGGCCGCACUUCUAUGCGGGUGCACCGCUAGCUUUGUGUAUGUUCUCAUGUUUGUAUAAAGCUUAUAUAAGCUAGUUAGAAAAUGUAUGUCACUAAGCAUUGUGAUAUUCUUUAAAGAACUCCUUGGUUGGUUUUACACUUGUGAAUUAGUAUUGAGGCGGUGGUAUUCCCAUGUAUGCCCACUGCUAGCUUUCUGUGUCCUCACGUGUUUGUAUUAAGUUUCUACAAGGGAGUUACAGCAUGUACGUCACUAAGCGCUGUGAUAUUUUUUAAAGAACUGCUUUGUUGGUUUUACACCUGUGAGUAAUAGUACUCGUGUGGCACUAGUCAUGUGUAGGUACACAGGGACCAUUUGUAUACAUUAUGCUCAUGUAAAGCAGUUACAAAGUGUAUGUCACUAAUUACUGUGAUAUUUGUUGAAUUGCUGUGAUGGUUUUACACAUGUGAAUAAUAAUGGUCAGGACACAGUACUUGCGGUGUAUAGUUGAAUUUAUACACUGCCAAGACAUGGGCUGUAUACGUACCAAAAGAAAUGUAUGUCAUUAUAUUGUUGUGAUUAUUACUGUUUGGAUUUCAUUAAACUGUAAUAAAAUUGUUUCUUGUA